rnacentral:tRNA from 1 species
GAGAGAGGCCGAGAGCAGUAAGGACUGCUAAUCCAUACCCCCGUGGUUAA